CAGUAGCCACGGGAAUACGGAGGGUGCAAGCGUUAAUCGGAAUUACUGGGCGUAAAGCGCACGCAGGCGGUCUGACAAGUCAGAUGUGAAAUCCCCGGGCUUAACCUGGGAACUGCAUUUGAAACUGUCAGGCUGGAGUCUUGUAGAGGGGGGUAGAAUUCCAGGUGUAGCGGUGAAAUGCGUAGAGAUCUGGAGGAAUACCGGUGGCGAAGGCAGCCCCCUGGACAAAGACUGACGCUCAGGUGCGAAAGCGUGGGGAGCAAACAGGAUUAGAUACCCCAGUAGUCCCUGUCUCUUAUAU
rnacentral:rRNA from 1 species